GACGAACGCUGGCGGCGUGCUUAACACAUGCAAGUCGAACGGAAAGGCCCUGCUUUUGUGGGGCGCUCGAGUGGCGAACGGGUGAGUAACACGUGAGUAACCUGCCCUUGACUUUGGGAUAACUUCAGGAAACUGGGGCUAAUACCGGAUAGGAGCUCCUGCUGCAUGGUGGGGGUUGGAAAGUUUCGGCGGUUGGGGAUGGACUCGCGGCUUAUCAGCUUGUUGGUGGGGUAGUGGCUUACCAAGGCUUUGACGGGUAGCCGGCCUGAGAGGGUGACCGGCCACAUUGGGACUGAGAUACGGCCCAGACUCCUACGGGAGGCAGCAGUGGGGAAUAUUGCACAAUGGGCGGAAGCCUGAUGCAGCAACGCCGCGUGCGGGAUGACGGCCUUCGGGUUGUAAACCGCUUUCGCCUGUGACGAAGCGUAAGUGACGGUAAUGGGUAAAGAAGCACCGGCUAACUACGUG
rnacentral:rRNA from 1 species